UUGAACUGUGGUGUUGGAGAAGACUCUUGAGAGUCCCUUGGACUGCAAGGAGAUCCAACCAGUCCAUCCUAAAGGAGAUCAGUCCUAAGUGUUCAUUGGAAGGACUGAUGUUGAAGCUGAAACUCCAGUACUUUGGCCACCUGAUGUGAAGAGCUAACUCCUUUGAAAAGACCCUGAUGCUGGGAGGGAUUGGGGGCAGGAGGAGAAGGGGACAACAGAGGAUGAGAUGGCUGAAUGGCAUCACCAAUUCAAUGGACAUGAGUUUGGGUAAAAUCUGGGAGUUGGUGAUUGACGGGGAGGCCUGGUGUGCUGUGGUCCAUGGGGCUGUAAAGAGUUGGGCACGACUGAGCAACUGAACUGAAUACCUAAAUAUUUUAUCUUUUGUUGUUGUGGCUGUUGUAAAUGGCUUUUUGUUUUUAUUGUGCCUUUUAACUGGUCAUUGUUUGUGUAUAUGAGCCUAUUGAUUUCUGUAAACUACUUUUAUAUCCUGCUAUAUUAUUGAAUUAUUUUAUUGUUUAAAUUAGUUUUAUUGUUGAAUCAGUUGGCUUUUGCAGGUAUACCAUUAUAUCAUCUGCAAGUAUAGUUUUACUUCUUGUUUUCCAGUUCUUAUGACUCAAAUUGCUUCCUCCUGUCUGAUUGCAUUGGCUGAUACCCCCAACAAGGUGUUCAAUAUGUAGUAGUAGAGACAGUGGGCAUCCUUGCUGUAUACUUCACUUUAGCGGGAAUGUCUUUAAUGUUUCCCAGUUAAAUAAAAAGCUGGCUUUGGGACUUAAAAAAGCCCUUGGAAGAAUUGAUGCUGGAAAAGAUGGCUUCAUAAGUCACUGUCUUUUCCUUUGAUGAGGGUCUCUGGACAGAAUGUGGAAGGGAGCACCACUGUAAUAAAGAAAACUCUGAGAGCUGUGUGGUUGUCUGUUACAUGUGGUAGCCUCCAGGGAACCAUGCCUCCCGAGUUACACCUUGGAAGCGUUGUCAACAUCUGCUUUUUCUUUUUAACUGACUUUGCUGUGCUGGGUCUUACUAGCAGCAUGUGAGAUCUUCCAUCUCUGUGCAGAACCUUUAGUUGUGA
ensembl:lncRNA